ensembl:lncRNA
AAGAAGAGACAAAGGCUCUCAGGACUUCGUAGAUCUGUGGCUUUUCCUGAAUUUCUACUGUACAACAGCUGUAAGCUUCUUUGUCUUCUAUCUAAUCAGAAUGUCCUUCAGAGACUAAAAUAUCUAUUGACAGAAUAGGGUGGUGCCGCACUGGAACAGGUUGCCCAAGGAGGCUGUGGAUGCCCCAUCCCUGCAGGCAUUCAAGGCCAGGCUGGAUGUGGCUCUGGGCAGCCUGGUCUGGUGGUUGGCGACCCUGCACAUAGCAGGGGGGUUGAAACUGGGUGAUCAUUGUGGUCCUUUUCAACCCAGGCCAUUCGAUGAUUCUAUGAUUCUCUUGUACCUUCUCUUGUAUCCCAAGAUGCAGUAGAACCCAUGUAUGAGGAAAGCAUGAG